GGGCUAGGGCUUGACUCUUACUCUUUUCAGGGUGAACACCUGCCUUUUAGCCCUCCUUCCUUAUGGUUUCUUUACCUGGAUGAGGCUCUGGUCUCUAUCCGUGCCUUAUUUUAGAAUAAGGGGAAGGGCUGUGUGGAGGAGAAGAUCCUUUGGCUACGAGGCUACCGUGGUUCCUGAGAGCUACUACCCAGCAGCUCGGAGGUUAAAGGGGGAAUGAGAGAAAGUAGCAAUACUGGAAGAGGAAAGGGAAAUAAUGAUCUAAUAUGAUCCUUGAAAGCUCCCUGCAGCCAACUACAGAGAGGAUUUGGAGACUUACAGUGAAAUGACUGACACUAGGUCAACCGCCAAGAGCUGUGAGUGGGCUAGGGCGUGAAGGAGGUGAUGUGGAGACAAUGGAGCUGCUAACCCUGUGGUCAACGGUGGAUCCAACUGAUUCACUCACCUCGGCCCACUUCUGCUUUUGGGAUCAUGGUGUACCAGGAAGCUGAGCCAGGAUAUCUAUAUAUCCUGCAGAGAGAUCAGACUUCCUUGGGACCAGACUGGAUCUGGAGCGUGGACCGGAGUCUUGCAUCCCCCCAACACCUGGAUUUAGAGGGUGGACUGUGGAAUGCUGGAGUUGGUUGCUGUCUUAAGAAUCACCUGAUUGUUUCAUGCCUCCAUAUCUGCCUCAUCUCUUUCCACUCAACUAUUCGUUGACUCUCUCUUUGAACGUUUGGAAUGGAAAAAUCCGUGUGGCAGGAUUCUCAGCUUCUAGGUUGAGGCUAAUGUUCAUAUUUUAACUUCAAUAUCACUAAAAAGA
rnacentral:lncRNA from 1 species